rnacentral:tRNA from 1 species
GGCUUCAUAGCUCAAUUGGUUGGAGCAUUGCACCAGUAUCACAAGGUCACGGGUUCAAAGUGAAACCCUGUUGAAGUCC